GGCCUGUUGGAGAAGUGGCUUAACUCACCGCCCUCUCAAGGCGGCAUUCGCCGGUUCGAAUCCGGUACAGGCUACCA
rnacentral:tRNA from 1 species